ACUGGUUUGAGAUGAGCAGCUAUACAAAUUGAAUGAAUGAAUGAAUGAAUGAAUGAAUGAAUGAAUGAAUGAAUGAAUAAACAAACAAACAAACAAACAAACAAACAAACUUUCCUGAGUUCUUAUCCUCCUUGUCACUUUUGCUAUAAGUCUCAUCAAGGGGAACCAACCAGGAAAAGAUGAGGGAACUCUACCAGUUUGUGCCCAGCUGGAACCGUUUUUGCAAGGAUUGUUAUUAUGAAGCCCUGAAGAUGAAGAACAGGUUUCUCCGUGAAGACAUUGAAGAGAAAGACAGGAGAGCUGCUGCUUCAUUGUGAAGCACGGGAAUCUAUCUCUAGACUGGAGGCUGCAGCUCCAACGUAUCUAGAGGACAUCAGGUUGGAGUAGUUUACUAUAGACCAGGGGUAACAAUUUUGGGGCUGCCAAUGACAACACUUAACUCUGGGGUGGGGGACUGAGGGGAUAAAUUAAGCGCAGCCUCAUUUUGCACUGGGUAGAACUGGGAGGGAGGUUUUGAAGGGUUGCUUUGCUUUAUUCAGUAAUUGUGAUGUGCCUAUUUUAAGGUGAAUAUUUCCCCAAAAUAGCUGGAAACCAUGCAGAGGUUUUCAGCAACCAUGGUCAGAGGAGUGUUUGAGGUCUGCAAAAGGGACCUUGAUAUGUGGUCAUACAUGACCCUGAGGUAGAGUUGCCCACCCCUGCUGUAGAUUUGUCUUUUAAAAAUUCAGUGUGCUUUAAAAAUGUGCAUGUAACUUCCACUUGGCUUGGACUGGCCCGAAAGAAUAUCCACAGCCAGGGCUGCCUUUGUCAGUCUCUUAUAGUAAAACCAGCAAAGAAUGAGUUUGGUAGUUUGAAACACAGAACCUGCCCAAUCAACUUUCCUGCCUGACUGGGACAAGAUGGCGCUCAACUACAAGUGGUCCUGCCGCCACACAAGUACAAAACCCAAAAUGGCAGCCAGCUGAACUUUCUUUGCUGAUGCCACCCAUCUCAACAAGUGACUCUGGGCGGCUUACAACAAGUUCCCGUGAACCUGUCAGAAUGCAGUCUGACUUUGAGUGGAAGGAGGGGGAGCUCAGCAGAAACGGCAGGAAAAAAGCCGCAGAGCUCAACCCGGCGGGAAACCUAAAAAGAAAAAAAACAGGAUCAGCUGAUAGGCGGUGAUCAAAGGGCAAGCUGAUUGGCUCCUGCCUUGAAACAGCGGGAAGAAAAGAACGUAAAAGCACAGGCAGAGGAGGAACGGCUUGUCAGGGACAACGGUUCACUAGACACUCCAGCCCAGCCUUGCCUCUCACAAAUGAAGGAAUCUGAAGAUUCCCAGCCCGAGAAAACUGGAGAAGUUCCUGCCUGCUGAUCCGGCCUGUCGCCCAGCCCUGCCCUGUUUUGCCAUCCCAAUGUCCCGUUUUUUUCUCAAGGAAAUACGGUCAGCCUAUGCCUAGCACCUCUGAGUCCCUCAGCAUCACCUGUGCGUCCUGGUGGUGUCUCCCAAACAUUCAUUCCCAGCUUGUAAUUGCCGAGACAUUAACAGAAAUAACAACUU